rnacentral:tRNA from 1 species
AUUGGGGACAUAACUCAGUGGUAGAGUGCCAUCUUGACGUGGUGGAAGCCAUCAGUUCAAUCCUGA